rnacentral:rRNA from 1 species
UACAGGGGGUGCAAACGUUGCUCGGAAUUAUUGGGCGUAAAGCGCGCGUAGGCGGUCGCUUAAGUCGGAUGUGAAAGCCCUUGGCUCAACCGAGGAAGUGCACCCGAAACUGAGUGGCUUGAGUACGAAAGAGGGUCGCGGAAUUCCCGGUGUAGAGGUGAAAUUCGUAGAUAUCGGGAGGAACACCGGUGGCGAAGGCGGCGACCUGGGUCGAUACUGACGCUGAGGCACGAAAGCGUGGGGAGCAAACAGG